rnacentral:lncRNA from 1 species
AAAAAAAAUUGGUUAGAAAAAACAACAUGACUUUGGUGGCAGAAAUUAUUCAUCAGGUACUUUUUGUGCUAAGCUGACAAACUGCUGACACAAAAUACAGGAAGUAAGAACAUGUUUGACCAUGUGGAGCUUACUCUUUAAUAGAAAACUGGGACCUGCAUAAAUCCAAGAAAUGGACCCGACAUUCAUGGAGCACCAACCAUCUGCCAGCAAGACCAACCCCUCCUCCCACUUAGCCUGCUUUAACGUGAAGAUAAUGAGGAUGAAGACCUUUGAUGAUCCACUUUCACUUACAUCUUCACCAGGAGUAUAGAUGCCAUCUGAAGAAACCACUUUCUUUGCUCAUCCAUAAGAAGCAACUCCUCAUUGGCUCAAUUUUCAUCAUGAGAUUGUGGCAACUGAGUGACAUAUUCAGGCUCCACUUCUAUUUUUCUUGCUAUUUCCACCCUUCAAAGUCAUCCAUGAGGAUCGGAAUCAAAUUCUUCCA